CAGGCCUCUUGUGAGUCAGUGGGCUGGGCUCCCACCGAGGUGCAGGGCCCGGGGCUGCGUCGCGGGGAAGUCACCUAUGGGACUUUCCAAAAGCAAACACAAACUCCGGAAAGGUGGGGAGCCAAAGUCGGGGCGCACCUAUUCAAUCCCAAAGGCUACGGAAAGGCCGGUGGACAGGCCUUCACAAGAGUCUGAGAAGCCUCCAGACACCAAGCCUGCAGAGAGCUUCCGUGAGAAGAAAGGGGCAGCUAAGCGGCAGUGGCCUUCAUCUGAAGUGGAAGGCCUGACACUCUCCUGUAACCAGUGGAGUGGUGGAAGUGACUUGUGGGCUGGGCGGCCUGGCCGGGCUCACGGGGACGCUGGCUGUGCUGGGAGCCACCGUGCUGGGAAGUGCUCGGCCGCUGGGGAGGCCACAGGGGAGCUGCAGCCCGCGGCCCUGAUCUCACAGCCCAUUCAGCCCAGGUGCCGGGCUUGUGACGAGCUUGUCGUGACUCCAGCCCCAGGCUUGCAGUCUCCCCAGCCGAGCCACUGCCCAGCACGCAGCAGCCCUGCGAGCGGACAUCCACGUGCCCAGCCCAGCUGAGCCUUCAGACAGCAUCUGACUGCAGCCCCUGGGAAACCACAGGUGGUAACUGCUGGUCGAACCUUUCCUGAAUUCCUGAGCCAUAAAACGGGAGCUGGUUACGCACAUGAUGGGCCCCCGACAGUGAACUGCAGGCUGCCGUGGAGGAGGGGCCGCACCUGUGUGGAUGUGGGGCUCAGCCGACUGCGUGGUCACUGCAACACUCAGCCUUGCACAGCGUGAUCCCAGCUGCACACGUGCGUGUGUGUAUGAAGUGUCCGCAAGGAGAAGCGUCAUUCCAUGUGCAGUCUCUAACCAACAUGUAUUAUUUUUAUUCUAUUUUAUUUUUAAAUUAUUUUUUUAAUUUUAUUUUUUUAUACAGCAGGUUCUCAUUAGUUAUCUGUUUUAUACAUAUUAGUGUCUACAUGUCAGUCCCAGUCUCCCAAUUCAUCCCACCACCACCCCCCCAUCACUCUCCCCCCUUUAACCAACAUGUAUUAUUUUUAAAUUAAAUAUUCAUAACCUUUUAAGUAGUCUUAACAUGUAAAAAUGCUUGUGUAAAUCAACAUGAAAAAAUGAUCUCAAUUUAAGUUAAAUUCAAAAGGGACUUCCCUGGUGGCACAGUGGUUAAGAAUCCGCCUGCCAAUGC